rnacentral:rRNA from 1 species
GAGUUUGAUCUUGGCUCAGAACGAACGCUGGCGGCGUGGAUAAGACAUGCAAGUCGAACGGGAGAAUUGCUAGCUUGCUAAUAAUUCUCUAGUGGCGCACGGGUGAGUAACACGUGAGUAACCUGCCCCCGAGAGCGGGAUAGCCCUGGGAAACUGGGAUUAAUACCGCAUAGUAUCGAAAGAUUAAAGCAGCGAUGCGCUUGGGGAUGGGCUCGCGGCCUAUUAGUUAGUUGGUGAGGUAACGGCUCACCAAGGCGAUGACGGGUAGCCGGUCUGAGAGGAUGUCCGGCCACACUGGAACUGAGACACGGUCCAGACACCUACGGGUGGCAGCAGUCGAGAAUCAUUCACAAUGGGGGAAACCCUGAUGGUGCGACGCCGCGUGGGGGAAUGAAGGUCUUCGGAUUGUAAACCCCUGUCAUGUGGGAGCAAAUUAAGAAGAUAGUACCACAAGAGGAAGAGACGGCUAACUCUGU